AUACGGAGGAUCCGAGCGUUAUCCGGAUUUAUUGGGUUUAAAGGGAGCGUAGGUGGACAGUUAAGUCAGUUGUGAAAGUUUGCGGCUCAACCGUAAAAUUGCAGUUGAUACUGGCUGUCUUGAGUACAGUAGAGGUGGGCGGAAUUCGUGGUGUAGCGGUGAAAUGCUUAGAUAUCACGAAGAACUCCGAUUGCGAAGGCAGCUCACUGGACUGCAACUGACACUGAUGCUCGAAAGUGUGGGUAUCAAACAGGAUUAGAUACCCUGGUAGUCCACACAGUAAACGAUGAAUACUCGCUGUUUACGAUAUACAGUAAGCGGCCGAGCGAAAGCAUUAAGGAUUCCACCUGGGGAGUACGCCGGCAACGGUGAAACUCAAAUGAAUUGACGGGG
rnacentral:rRNA from 1 species